rnacentral:rRNA from 1 species
GCGUUGUCCGGAAUUAUUGGGCGUAAAGGGCGUGUAGGCGGACUAUCAAGUCUGAGGUGAAAUAACCCGGCUUAACCGGGGAAGGUCGUCAGAAACUGGUAGACUAGAGUGCAGGAGAGGAAAGCGGAAUUCCCGGUGUAGUGGUGAAAUGCGUAGAUAUCGGGAGGAACACCAGAGGCGAAAGCGGCUUUCUGGCCUGCAACUGACGCUGAGGCGCGAAGGCUAG